UACGUAGGGUGCGAGCGUUAAUCGGAAUUACUGGGCGUAAAGCGUGCGCAGGCGGUUUUGUAAGUUUGUCGUGAAAUCCCCGGGCUCAACCUGGGAAUGGCGAUGAAGACUGCAAGGCUAGAAUCUGGCAGAGGGGGGUAGAAUUCCACGUGUAGCAGUGAAAUGCGUAGAGAUGUGGAGGAACACCGAUGGCGCAAGGCAGCCCCCUGGGUCAGAUUGACGCUCAUGCACGAAAGGCGUGGGGAGCAAACAGG
rnacentral:rRNA from 1 species